rnacentral:rRNA from 1 species
UGGGGAAUAUUGCACAAUGGGCGAAAGCCUGAUGCAGCAACGCCGCGUGAGGGAAGACGGUUUUCGGAUUGUAAACCUCUGUUUUCGGUGACGAACAAAUGACGGUAACCGAGUAGGAAGCCACGGCUAACUACGUGCCAGCAGCCGCGGUAAUACGUAGGUGGCAAGCGUUAUCCGGAAUUACUGGGUGUAAAGGGAGCGCAGGCGGGAUAGCAAGUCAGCUGUGAAAACUAUGGGCUCAACCCAUAAACUGCAGUUGAAACUGUUAUUCUUGAGUGGAGUAGAGGCAAGCGGAAUUCCGAGUGUAGCGGUGAAAUGCGUAGAUAUUCGGAGGAACACCAGUGGCGAAGGCGGCUUGCUGGGCUCUAACUGACGCUGAGGCUCGAAAGUGUGGGGAGCAAACAGGAUUAGAUACC